UCAGAGUCGCCAGCCUCCACCCGCUCCCACAGCCUCGUCCUCGGCACCCACACCUCCGAUAACUCCCCCAACCACCUCAUGCUCGUCGACCCGUGCUCUAGCUCCUGCCGCGCCUGGCCGUGGCGGCUGCCGCCGAGGGCCGCGCCGCCCCGUCCGUGUCAAUCGGUCACUCAGCGCCGCAUAAUGGCGAGGUCAACAGCGCCGGGUGCAUGUCUACCGCCUUGGGGAGGACGGCGAUCUCAAGGCCGGGAAUCGAGCCCCAGUUCUAGAUGCGCAACAGGUGUUUGAGGUCGCUGUUAAGGCCUCGAGCUGGCUGCGACCAAGCACGGCCUCUAGCUCGCCCUGCACCGCGAUUGCAGUCGCGGGGCUGAUGACCACGGGCUGCUCCACGCACGGACGACAAGCACGGCAUCCGCGAUCAAGGAGAACCUGAGAUGCAACAUCAACGUGGUGGUCAUAUAUCAGAAAGGCAAGUUCUUAUGAAUGAAAGGUCAAGAUCUCCGGCGGCAGGCCAACGGGCACCAUCUCGAGCCAUCGAACCUGCAUGAGAGACAAGAAACACAAGGUCCAUUAUGAGUCUGUACUAGGAUUGAAGUAGGAAGCUGCCAGAGGUGUGUAAUUCAUGUACGGUGAGUGCUUUGCUGGGAUCAAUUGUAUGUACCCCCUGAGUUUUUAGAUUCAUAGCAGUUGACUGAUCUUAAUGUGGGUGUGCUAUUUUAGUUAUAAAUGUUCUUUUCCUGAUGUACAUGAAUGGUACUUUCUGGUUUGGCAAUGAAUAAUUUGUUUGGUCUUUUGAUAAGAGGUGUACGAAUGUGAUUUAAAAGAGUGCUAUUAUUUGUGAAAUUGGUAUGUUGAUAAAGCUCACAAGAAAUCUUAAAGAGAGAUGGACCUGAAGAGAAGAUUUGAGCAAAGCAUGAAAAAUGUCUCAUAUUUGUACUGUCAACAC